rnacentral:lncRNA from 1 species
UGCAGAUUUCCUUUUGUUUGUAACGUCUAAUUGGACUUUAUGUGUCUUGUAGCUGAAGGAAAGACUGGCUUUGCUUAAGAAGGAGUACCUCAGGACUGUCCAGAGACUGCAGCGCGCGGAGCGAUCCCAGGUGGUCUGGCGGCACGAGAGGAGCGGAAUCGCGGAGCAGUACCGCCCGCCUCAGGAAGAACCGGGCUCAGCCCAGCAGUCCUCUUGCUCGGGUGAGUUUCUCCCAGGAUCGAUAUGCUGCUGGCCGGUCAGGCCCCAGAUGCAAACACCAGUCAAUCAAAGUA